GACGUAGGGGGCCAGCGUUGCUCGGAAUUACUGGGCGUAAAGGGUCCGUAGGCGGUGCGGUAAGUCGGGAGUGAAAUCUCUGGGCUUAACUCAGAGGCUGCUUCCGAAACUACCGUGCUAGAGUGCGAGAGAGGCAAGUGGAAUUGCGGGUGUAGCGGUGAAAUGCGUAGAUAUCCGCAGGAACAUCCGAGGCGAAAGCGGCUUGCUGGAUCGCGACUGACGCUGAGGGACGAAAGCUAGGGGAGCAAACAGG
rnacentral:rRNA from 1 species